AAAUAAGCCCUGAGAAUAAAGAAAAAAAUAUAUGAUUCUUGUUAGCCACUGUAACAUUUUGCACAAUUUGAACACUAACACUACGCUUACCAAAAAAAAAAAAAGAUUCAACUGAAAUAUAAAAUAUAUAAAAGACGCUUUAAAAUAGGACUUAAUUAAAUGUCGAAAACAAAACGUUCCUAAACUUCAAACGCAAUUGUUCUACAAAUUGAAGUUUGAACAUCCAAUUCAGUGAUCCUUUGACCUGCCACUAGAGGGAGCUUGCGUACUGCUUCAAGACAAAUCAGUGGCAUUUUCGUCAUAGAAUGUCGACAAACUUUGACGACGCAGCAGAAAGCACCAAACUAAUGACUCAAUCAUGUUAAAAAAAAACAAACAAAAAAAAAACGGGUGUAUGCUGACUCAUGAUCACAUUUUUUUUUUUUUGACUGUCAGGCCACGUCAGCCCGCGGGGGUGUGUCAGGUGUUCGGCGCCCUGCCGAGCGGCGGCUCUGCUGUCAGCGCGUGCUAUAUUUAAACUGGAGGUCACCUGUUGGGGAGCGCCGCUUUCAACAGCGGGCCAAAGGUCGCCGGCCUUGAUUGACAGGCGGGGGAGCGCCGCCGCCGCUCGGACUUCUUCUGACUCAGUGCUGACACACGCCAAGAGCGGUCGUAUCAGCGCGAGAAGAUUGCACAGUGGUCAAGAGCACAACAGAUGGAGUAGGGUUUCAAGAUAGGGUUUCAACAUGGGUUCGUGUUUAAAAGUAGGGUUUCAGUUCUCGUUUGUGGUUUCAAAUUAGCGUUUGAGCUUCAAAUGAGGUUGUGAAGUUGGUGUUUGGGUUUCAAGUGGACAUUUCAAGCCUCUAUUAUGGCCGGUGUGUAGAAUUAGGGUUUCAAGACAUGAUUAAGGUUUUUCCAUUUCGGGUUUCAAGCAAGGCCUGCGGUUUCAAAUGUGGUUUUUGAAGUCGGCGUUAGGGUUUCAACUUUUGAUUGGUUUGAAGCCAGUAUUCAAAUGAGGAUUUUAAGUCUGCAUUAGGGUUUCAAAUGAGGGCUUAAAGCGCGGAUUUUACAUUCGGUUUCAAGAGGGGUUAAGGACUGUGUUAGGGUUUCAAAUUUGGUUUGCAAACCUCCAUCAGGAUUUUUUUAAGGCAGUUGGGGUUCAAAUGAGGGGCGGGAUUUCAAAUUGGGGAAUUAAA